rnacentral:rRNA from 1 species
AGUAACGCGUAAAGAACUUGCCUCACAGUUAGGGACAACAUUUGGAAACGAAUGCUAAUACCUGAUAUUAUGAUUUUAGGGCAUCCUAGAAUUAUGAAAGCUAUAUGCGCUGUGAGAGAGCUUUGCGUCCCAUUAGCUAGUUGGAGAGGUAACGGCUCACCAAGGCGAUGAUGGGUAGCCGGCCUGAGAGGGUGAACGGCCACAAGGGGACUGAGACACGGCCCUU